AGGCAGCAAAACCACAACCAAGACAUGCGUGGAGUCAGUCAGUCCCACCAACAUACACGCAAGCGCCAUGCGAUUACAUGCACACCCGAGACAUAUGCGGAAAGAAUCCAUCAAUCAGCCUCUCGGCCACAUCCACACAACGUAUGUAUAUGCACAACGCCUUACUGUGCACCAUAGACACACAAUUGUAUGCCAUGCACGAUUACACGCGCAGGCCCUUACCGUAACAUUGCACAGAACUGGAAGACAUUUCCAGUGCAUCGGGUUUAGUGAGAUGAAUAAAAACAGGACUAUGAAUACACCAGCAAAAGAAUGAAACGUUCAAUAGGCUCAGGAAGAUGUCUUCAUCUGACUCAGAUACAGGAAGGUCCAGAGACUUACUGGACCUUAAAAUUAAACUUGGUGUUAAAAUUAACUUGGUGUUAAGGAAUUAAAAUUAACUUGGUGUUAAGGAAUUAAAUGAGGCCCGUGUAUGUGGCAGCGUUACCCUUUGCUAUGAAGUGCAGUGGAUACAUUCACGGGCGUUUGGAUGAAUUUUCAGUCAAUUCUAUGCCCAAGGAUCUUCACGGUACAUUUCAUUUGCUUCAGAACUCAUACUUACAACAGGGGAUCCCUCAUAUUCAUUGCAGCACUGUUCACGAUAGCCAAGACAUGGAAACAACCUAAAUAUCCAUGGACAAAGGAUUGGAUAAAGAAGAUGUGAUACAUACACACAAUGGAAUAUUACUCGGUCAUAAAAGGAGGAAGUAAUGCCACAGAAGGACCUGGAGACUAUCAUUCCUGAGCAAAGCACAUCAGAAAGAGAGGCAAAUGCCGUAUGAUGUCGUUUAUAUGUGGAGUCCACAAUACGACGCAAAUGAAUUUACCUACAAGAUGGAAACAGACUCACAGGCAUGGAGAACAGGCUUGGGGCUGCCCAGAGAGGAGGACAGGGUGGGGGUUUGGGAUUAGCAGAUGCUAAUGGAUGACCAAGGUCCUACUGUAUAGCACAGGGAACUAUAGUUAGUGUCCUGUAAUAAACCAUAAUGGAAAAGAAAAAAAAAAUCAUCUGGUUCCAAACUGGAUUAAAACAAAGCAAAACAAAACCCAAACAUCCAUCAACAGGUGAAUAAUUGCAUCUAAACCAUGGACUAUAACUCGGCCUUAGAAAGAAAUGAGAGAUGGAUGAAUCUCAAAAUAAUUUUGCUGAGUGAAAAAGCUAGCAAAAGCCAGUCCACACAGUGAUAAUUCUAGAAAACCGCCUCAUGCACAGUGACCGAAAGGACAUCAAGGGUUGCUAGAGGACGGGGCCCUGAGAGGGGACAGUAUACAAGGGGUGAAGGGACUCUUAGAACCUGAAGAAUUGUGGAGGAAUUGAGCAGGAACGAUGGGAGGGAAGGGACGAGAAUAAUGCUUGAGACUUUGCUGGUUGCGUGUGUGGCAGACAAGUCCUGUGGGUGCUCGAGAGUAAGAGGCUGAGCUAAGGUGUGUGGGAGCUCACCGGAGGGUCAACUCAGCGGGCUGUCUGGGUGGCUAGUAACCCACCCGAAAUUCAGACCAGGGUGCUGUAAUGAAAACAGAAAAUAGUACCCUUAACGAUAUAAAAUCAUAACUUAACAAAAAUUAAGAAGUAGGUGUUGGGAUUGACAUAGACACACUAUAGAAAACAGCUAAUUGACAAGGACCGACAGCACAGCACAGGGAGCUCCUCGGCACUGUGUCACAACCUGUGCGAGAAAAGAAUCUGCGAAGGAACGGCCGUAUGUACGUGUUUAACUGAUUUACUUUGCUGUACACCUGAAAUGAAUGCCUUUGUAAGUGAGCUAUGCUCCAAUAAAAUUUAUUUUAAAAAAUGACAAAAAAUAAAGUAGAGGAAAAGAAGUGAGAGGAAGUGUAAAUGCCCACUCAUUUCCAAAUCUUUGGAGCGGAAAAUCAGCAGGUGCUUUGAAAAACGGAUAAUCAAAACAUGGGGCUUAUGGUCACACCGUCAGGAGGACAGAAAGGCAAGAAGCCAUCGUCAGGGAGCCAAGGGAAGGAGAAGGGAAGCUGAGGUCAGUGCAGUAGUUGUGCUUCUCUUUGAGAAGAAGCGAUUGAUUCUGUAAAUGUUAAUACACCUUGAGUGAGAUCUUGAUGCAGGAAGUGGUAUCAGUGAGAAAUCCAAUGAAACCUGAGUAAAAUUCUGUAGUUUAGUGGUUAAUAUUUCCCUGAGGUUUUCUUGGUUUUGAUCAUUAUUGUCUGGCUAUAUAAGAAGGUAGCAUAACAGAAAGCUGAGUAAAAGUUUUCGCGGGAGGUCAGCUUUUUUUUUUUUUUCAACUUCUCUGUGAGUAUAGAUAAUCUAAAUAUUAAAAGUUAUUAAAAGUUGAUAAAUCAGGAGUUCCUGUUGUGGCUUAGCAGGUUAGGAACCUGACUAGUGUCCGUGAGUAUGUGGGUUCGAUCCCUGGCCUUGCUCAGCAAAUUAAGGACCUGGCGUUGCCACAAGCUGUGGUGCAGGUCGCAAAGGCAGCUCCCUUUAGACCCCUAGCCUGGGAACUUCCAUAUGCUGCAGAUGCGGCCCUAAAAAGAGAAAAAAAAAAGUUGAUAAGUCAAAAAAUAUUGCUAUUAAAUCAUUGCUGAAACUCCCACUGCCACUCACCAGAAGAAACUGGAGCCAAAUCUCAAUGGUGAUAAUCCUGGGAUGGGAAUUGGGUUUAAGAGGUUUUUUUCUUUCAAUUUUAUACCAUCUUGUAAUAUCUAAAAAUAUGUUAACCAUGUACAUACGUCAUUUUUAAAGCAAUUUUAAUUUUAAAAUGUUACUAAAACUUUACUAGUCUGCAAAAUGUGACAAAUAAUUUACAGAACAUAUUGGAUGUAUAAUAGAUAUUUCAUAUUUUUAUUUUUGUCCUGUUUUAUUAGACAAUUUAGGUUGCUUGCAAAAAUAUUAUGCUGUGAAUGAACUAAAGAACUAUUAUCAUGAUUUUGUCAUGUAUCAUUGAAUUAGACUCUCUCACACAUUAAAAGGAUGAUAAAUAAAAGUCCCUGGGGUGAAGAUUUUAUGAAGUACUUCGAAUUGCCUCUGUAGUCUAAUCUGCUGGGAUUUUAUACUGCUGGCCUAUGCUCUCGUUGUUCCUUUGUUUCCUGAAUUAGAUAAAUAAAAUGUAUUCCGUUCCUAUGCUG
ensembl:lncRNA